UUGGCAUGGUGAUGAUAUUUAACAAUAUUUUCAUAUGAUGUUUCAUAUGAUGAAUACAAUCCUCCUACUCAUUCUGA